UGACCUUCGAGCCUGAUGUUCAGGUGAAA
rnacentral:piRNA from 1 species